CUACGGGCCGCUCCAGUGGGGAAUAUUGGACAAUGGGGGAAACCCUGAUCCAGCAAUGCCGCGUGUGUGAAGAAGGCCUGCGGGUUGUAAAGCACUUUCGGUUGGGAGGACUGCUUCUAGCACUAAUAUUGUUGGAAGUUGACGUUACCUUCAGAAGAAGCACCGGCUAACUCCGUGCCAGCAGCCGCGUGUAAUACGGCGGGUGCAAGCGUUAAUCGGAAUUACUGGGCGUAAAGCGCGCGUAGGCGGCUAGAUCAGUCGGGUGUGAAAGCCCCGGGCUUAACCUGGGAACUGCAUCCGAUACUGUCUAGCUUGAGUACAGGAGAGGAGAGUGGAAUUCCACAUGUAGCGGUGAAAUGCGUAGAUAUGUGGAGGAACACCAAUGGCGAAGGCAGCUCUCUGGCCUGAUACUGACGCUGAGGUGCGAAAGCGUGGGGAGCAAACAGGAUUAGAUACCCCCGUAGUC
rnacentral:rRNA from 1 species